GUGGUUGAUCCGGUGAUCGGAAAGUCGAGGAUGCUGGUUACGCCGAGUGUGAAGGAGAAGGCAAAAGAAAUCGCAGAGACGUGGAAAAAGAGCCUUGAAGAGAGAGGAGGGAUUGAGAAUGUGAAGACUCCGGAUGUUCAUACUUUUCUGCAACAUUUGGUUACGUUUGGGAUUGUUAAGAAAGAGGAUCUGGAGCUUUAUAGGAAGCUUGUUGUUGGUUCUGCCUGGAGGAAACAAAUGCCUAAACUUGCCGUUUCGCUUGGCCUCGGUGACAAAAUGCCUGGUAUUUGAUUUCUUUUGUUGAGAUGAAAUUACUUUUUUUUUUAAUGUUCUUAUUUUCUGUUAGUGAGUACUAUCAUGGAGUUUCAAACUUGUUGCAGCUUAUUACAGUAUUCUAGGAGUCGAUGGUUAUGUUUCAUUGUGAUGGUGUUUUGAAAGUGAUUAUAUUGUCUGAUUAAUUUGAUCUUGGUGUCAAAACUUUCAGAAUGAACUUAAGAGUUGUAAAGAUAAGAUUUUUAGGGUAUUUCAUGAGUUAUGUUGCUUAUAUUCGAGACUCAGUGUUAGAUACAGGCAUGUGUCUGACAUGGGAUAUGUUCAAUUUCUUUCAAAGUUUUUCCUUAUAUUUAGGGAGGAGUGAAAACUCCAUAUGCAUGUCUGUCAGAUAUUUGCUGGACAUGGGUACUCGUGCAAGAAUUAAGAGUUGGAGCAAUAGUUGACUAGCAUAAUUAAGUGACUUGUAACCUAGGAUGUUAAUUAGCUGUUGCAUGUUGCCUUAACUUGUUGGUAAGCAUGUGCUUUUUCUUUUGUAAGCCAACAUGCUUUGGAGAUGGUUCGUGUUUGUUACUUGGUGUUUUUGGAAAGUAUACGGUAUGUCUUUAGUGGAACCAUUUAAAGAACUUAUAUCUUGAUGCACUUUUACCAUUUAGGGACAUGUGGGCUGCAUGUUGUGAAGAGUGUACCUGCUGGUUUUUGUGGUUUAAAUAGAACAAGAUACUAGAACUUUAUGUUAAGAUCAGUGAAGCUAUAUGUUCAUAGGAUCUGAUAUAUAUCAAGUUGUUCGUUAAAGCCAAGGGUUGUGUUAGUUUAGUACUGGGUAAAGAGUGAAUUCCAAGGUGUAGGUAUUGUAGCCAAACAGAUGUAGCUUGCAUAAUUCUAACAAGUAAAGAUUCAUUGUCUUUUUUAAUGUCUAUAUCACCAUUUAAUCCAUAAACAUGGUCAACAUUUCAUCGAAAAACAUUGCUUAUACUGGACUGUUGUGUUUUUGGAAGCUCUCUUAUGGGUUUUUACCAUUUGUGCUCAAAAUCAUUCCAUUAAGGUACAAUUGUAAAAUUGAGUUUCUAAUGCAUUUAAUUCUCCACUACAGACAUGAUUGAAGAAUUGGUCAGUAAGGGACAGCAGCUUGAUGCAGUUCAUUUCACUUAUGAAGUUGGCCUUGUAGACAAGUUCCCUCCUGUACCCCUGCUCAAAGCUUUCCUGAGGGAUGCAAAGAAAGCUGCGUCUUCUAUUUUAGAAGAUCCCAGUAAUGCCGGCCGGGCUGCGGUAUUCCCCUAUUUACUCAUAGUGAUCAUUUAUUUGUUUAAUUCUUACUAUAUCUGAUUUUGAAUUAUCCUAUCUUUUCUUGAUUAGAUGUUUGAUGCCAGGUUUCACUCCUGGGGUUUGCUGUAAGAAUACUUGAAUUCAUUUUGUCUCAUUGCAGUCAUAUAUUUGCAUAUUUGUGGAAGUAAAUUAAACUGAGAUGUUUUUGAUAAAGCAUGCCUAAUAUGGGUAAAUGUUAUUGCCAUUUUAUGUUUCUCUUCUGGGACGGGGAAUGGGGAUGUGAGAUUUUGGCUGGAUUAAAAUUCUUUGCCUUCCUUUUUAUCUCCUAGUUCAUGCUAAAUAUCAUGAAUAGGUAGUAUUCUAUUGACAAAUAGGUCGAUGAGUUUCAUUGCUUGUCUAUGCCUUUCUUUUAAAUUUUUCUUCAUUUGUAGCAGUUAUAUUACAAUUAACAAAUAAUGUUUAUUCUUGAUAUUUGCAGCAACUUGCUGCACGCAAGGAGCAAUCAGCACUUCGGGCUGUCAUCAAGUGCAUUGAAGAGUACAAACUUGAGGCUGAGUUUCCACCUGAAAACCUCAAGAAACGCCUUGAACAGCUAGAGAAGACCAAGACUGAGAAGAGGAAGGCAGCUGCAGUCCCUGCUAAUAAGCGAACGCGGGCUAGUAAUGGCGGUCCUAUGCCUCCAGCUAAAGCUGGCCGUUUGAUGAAUGCAUAUGUCUCAUCCUUUCCUGCACCUCCUACAUUUGUUAGGUCUCCUUCACACACUCAAUACCCUGCAGCAGUCCCAGCAUACCCAUCCCCACCUGCCAUGUAUGGAAGCAGGAGCCCACCGACCAAUCCCUAUGCUUAUUCACCAGAAGCAGCGCCUCCUCCCCUUUCUGGUUCUUACCCUGGUGCUCCCAUGAACUAUCCUGCAUAUGGGGGUUAUGGCAAUGGUUUGGCACCAGCUUAUCAGCAGGCUUACUACCGAUAGACAAUGACUACUCUGGAGAUGGUAACCACUGAUAUGAUG
rnacentral:lncRNA from 1 species